rnacentral:rRNA from 1 species
CCCUUAGAUGUUCUGGGCCGCACGCGCGCUACACUGAUGCCUUCAACGAGCCUAUCCUUGACCGACAGGUCCGGGUAAUCUUUGAAUCUGCAUCGUGACGGGGAUAGAUUAUUGCAAUUAUUAAUCUUCAACGAGGAAUGCCUAGUAGGCGCAAGUCAUCAGCUUGCGUCGAUUACGUCCCUGCCCUUUGUACACACCGCCCGUCGCUCCUACCGAUUGGGUGUGCUGGUGAAAUGUUCGGAUCGGCCGUUUGUCGCGGUUUCCGCGGCUCGUGGCUGAGAAGUUCAUUAAACCCUCCCACCUAGAGGAAGGAGAAGUCGUAACA